rnacentral:miRNA from 1 species
UCAACUGGAGAUCUUGUUCAAAUGCAGAUUCUGAAUCAGUAGGUCGGGGGUAGGGCCUGAGAUUCUGCAUUUCUAACAAGUUCUCAAGUGAUUCC